ACCGGCAGCUCAAGUGGUGGCCAUUAUUAUUGGGCCUAAAGCGUUCGUAGCCGGUUUGAUAAGUCUCUGGUGAAAUCCCGCAGCUUAACUGUGGGACUUGCUGGAGAUACUAUCAGACUUGAGGUCGGGAGAGGUUAGGGGUACUCCCAGGGGAGGGCUGACAUCCUAUAACCCUGGGAGGAAUAACUGGGGCGAAGGCGGCUAACCGGAACGAACCUCACGGUGAUUAACGAAAGCCAGGGGUGGGGUACU
rnacentral:rRNA from 1 species